rnacentral:tRNA from 1 species
GCGCCCGUAGCUCAAUUGGAUAGAGCAUCUGUCUACGGAACAGAAGGCUGGGGGUUCAAAUCCCUCCGGGCGCG